rnacentral:sRNA from 1 species
UAUGGUUAGCCUCAGCUCUUCUAGCAUU